rnacentral:lncRNA from 1 species
GUUUGGAGGUGAAAAACACUCUUCAAGGCACUAGAGGCUGAAAAUAGGCUAUUUCCCUUUAAUAGGCUAUUCUUAGUAGUUAAUUAGGCUUCUCCUUCAUUAAAAUAACUUUCUUUUCUAUUUAAAGUAAUUUGAAUUCAAAAACUAGCCAUUUCUGGAUGUUGGGGAUGGAUUUCAGUUGUUUGAAUGACUUUUGGAUGCUUCUCUAACAGAUUUUGCACAUUCUGUUAUGGCUGUCAGAAACAGUCAACUCGAACAGUCCACGAGCGGCAC